GGCCAGAGAGGUCAAAUCACGGUGAAAAUCAUAUAAAUUAGAAGGUCUAAUUUCAAUUUCAGAAUUGUUGGGGUUCUCCAAAUGCUGGAAAUCCCCUCAAAAAAUUAGAGUAUGCUGCUAUUUGCAGCGAG
rnacentral:snRNA from 1 species